ACUGUAUAAAAUAGAAAUCGGUAAUUCAAAUGCCGGACUCUGAAAAUAAGCCGAAGAAUUCUAAUUUCGAACUUUUCCUCGUAACUCAACCGAAAUAUACUCGUUUUGAUAUCGAAUCGUACUCAUAUUUGUUAUGUAUUUUUAAACCGAUUCCGGUAGAGGGAUGCAUUCCUUAACCUCGCCCCGCCCCUGCGCACGCCGAUGUCCUAGUGUUUUUAGUGACUCCGCCUAGUGUGGCCUAUGAGAUUUUGGACGGGGUAUUUC